rnacentral:lncRNA from 1 species
GUUUCCCCCUGAGGGAAGUAUACCUGUCCUGCCAGCCUUGGUCUCUGGCAGGGAAGGUCCUUCCAACAGAGAGGGAAUUGCUUAGAAUUGACUCAACACUGCCUCCUUGCUGAAUGGAUAAUUCAAGCAAACAACUCAAGAGCUGGAUGCUGCCCAGACAGGUAGGCAGCCAGAUAAAGUGAGUGUCCAGGGAAAGAGCAGUAAGGGUCAGAAGAGAAAGAGCCUGGUGUUCUCACUGCCUCCUGCCUUCCUUAUGACUGUCUGUUCAGAAGUCCUCCUAGCAUCUUUCUUCUGCCUUCCCCUGCUCCUGUCCCUGAAACCUUUUCUUCAAAAGAAGUGGAAAAGAGGAACUGGGAACCCAUAUAGCAACAGCAUCACCUGGAAUGAAUUCCUUUAGAACAUACUGUCUUGGAAAUCUGAAGCCUGCAGGGCUGGACAGGCAAGAAGAGCAGUGAGCACUGCAUGAACCUGCAUGUACUCCGAAAUAUUUUUCAAAUGGAAAAGAAAACAGAGAACACAAUUUUCAAAAUAUCUAGAGCCCUCCAAGAAGUCUUUGUAGAGAUCUAUAAAAUCUCAAGGCAAUUUAAAGAAUAGAAAAAUGUUUUAGAAACACUAUUCUCUCCACAUCCUGGGGCAGCAGCCUUCUCCAAAGAAACAGAAAGAAGG